UACGUAGGGUGCAAGCGUUGUCCGGAAUUAUUGGGCGUAAAGAGCUCGUAGGCGGUGUGUCGCGUCGGCCGUGAAAACCUGCAGCUUAACUGUGGGCUUGCGGUCGAUACGGGCAUCACUGGAGUUCGGCAGGGGAGACUGGAAUUCCUGGUGUAGCGGUGAAAUGCGCAGAUAUCAGGAGGAACACCGGUGGCGAAGGCGGGUCUCUGGGCCGAUACUGACGCUGAGGAGCGAAAGCCAGGGGAGCGAACGGG
rnacentral:rRNA from 1 species